UGUAAGUAAAUAUUAAUUACGAAAGCAAAAAAUUAUGGCGGUAUUUUAAGCUUUUCAGAGGAAUUUGCUCUUUAAUGGAUAAAACACCUAAAUCUUACUUAAAUUUGUUAAGUCAAUUUGUAUACCACUAUUAAAUUAAUUAUUAAUUUUAAUUUAUAAAAUUUAUGCAAAUUUAAAAAAAAUUAAGUCAAGGUGCAGUAAAAAUUUAAGAAUGAAGUGAAUUACAUUUCUUUUAAGAGAUUAUUAAAAUUAAAAUUUUAAUUUAGGAUUUGAAAGUAAAAUUAAAAUAGAAUGUUAAUUUGAAUUAAGCUCUAAAAUAUGUACACAUCGCCCUCGCCUCUCAUAUA
rnacentral:rRNA from 1 species